rnacentral:rRNA from 1 species
GUGAGGAAUAUUGGUCAAUGGGCGUAAGCCUGAACCAGCCAAGUCGCGUGAGGGUUGAAGGUUCUAUGGAUCGUAAACCUCUUUUAUAAGGGAAUAAAGUGUGGGACGUGUCCUAUUUGGUAGGUACCUUAUGAAUAAGGAUCGGCUAGCUCAGUGCCAGCAGCCGCGGUAAUACGGAGUAUCCGAGCGUUAUGCGGAUUUAUUGGGUUUAAAGGGUGCGUAGGCGGCCUUUUAAGUCAGCGGUGAAAGUCUGUGGCUCAACCAUAGAAUUGCCGUUGAAACUGGGAGGCUUGAGUAUGCUUGAGGCAGGCGGAAUGCGUGGUGUAGCGGUGAAAUGCUUAGAUAUCACGCAGAACCCCGAUUGCGAAGGCAGCCUGCCAAGCCAUGACUGACGCUGAUGCACGAAAGCGUGGGGAUCAAACAGG